GCUCAAUGGUUUUUUAAAUUGCUGUAGUAUUUUGACUAUACAAAGGUAUUGAAAUAAGGUUUUAAUUGAAUGCUAAAAGAAUGGAAUAUCAAAGAAUAACUUUCUUAAAAUUAAAAAUUGAAAUUUUUUUAAUUUGUGUAAAAACAAUUAUAUAAAUUAAAGACAAGAAGACCCUAAGAAUUUUUAAAAUUUAAAUUAACACAUUUUUGUUUUAAUUAAAUUUUAACUGGGGCGGUUAAAAAAUAUUAAAAACUUUUUAAUUUUGAAAAUGACCCAUUAUUAAUGAAAAUAUGAUAAAAUACUCUAGGGAUAACAGCGUUAUAUUUUUUGAUAGAUCAUAUUGACAAAAAAGUUUGCGACCUCGAUGUUGGAUUAGGAUACUUUUUUAAUGAAGAUAUUAAAAUAAGAAGUUUGUUCAACUUUUAAAUUCCUACUUGAUCUGAUUCCAGACCGG
rnacentral:rRNA from 1 species